AGGGCAUGCUGGAUGCAUCCACAAAGCAGUGACCAAAUGAAGAUGGUAUGUUGAAUUGUUUUGCAUUUUUAUGCAAAGUGUAUAAUCACACUUACACUUGUUUUCGUUUUUCUAGAUAAAAAUGCUUUAAAUGAAAAGGAAUCACGACAACAAUUUUUGGCUCAAGUGGGAGCAACAAUUCUGAACAGAUCAGAUUUUAUUACCUUGGGACAUCCAAAUGAUGUUGAAGGCACUAUUUUGAAUGCCUGCCUUUCAAUGGUCAGAGAUAUUGCUGAUUUAAAUAACAUAAAGGUCCAUUGUUUAAGGUCAUAUGUGACAGUGACAUGGUUGCCACUAUUGUGUGCAGACCCUUCGGCUAACUUACCUGUAAGUAUGAC